GGUUGAAAUGUAUAUGAAGAACUUGUUCAGAUUUGAAUUUUCAACAUUGCAAUGAGUGGCGAACGGGUGAGUAACACGUGGGAAACCUACCUCUUAGCAGGGGAUAACAUUUGGAAACAAAUGCUAAUACCGUAUAAUAAUUAAAACCGCAUGGUUUUAGUUUAAAAGAUGGUCUUGCUAUCACUAAGAGAUGGUCCCGCGGUGUAUUAGUUAGUUGGUGAGGUAAUGGCUCACCAAGACAAUGAUACAUAGCCGAGUUGAGAGACUGACCGGCCACAAUGGGACUGAGACACGGCCCGUACUCCUACGGGAGGCAGCAGUAGGGAAUCUUCCACAAUGGACGAAGGUCUGAUGGAGCAACGCCGCGUGUGUGAUGAAGGGUUUCGGCUCGUAAAACACUGUUGUAAGAGAAGAAUGACAUUGAGAGUAACUGUUCAAUGUGUGACGGUAUCUUACCAGAAAGGAACGGCUAAAUACGUG
rnacentral:rRNA from 1 species